rnacentral:sRNA from 1 species
GCAGUCGCCGCUUCCGCCUUGACCAGGUGGAGCUGGAGACCUGGUCUCUCUAGGGCCUACCCUGAGCUCAGCAUCUGAAGGAGAGGGCCAUCAUCCUUAGGAACUCCUUCUCCAGACAUGCUUCCUGAGGCCGGCUCCCUGUGGCUACUGAAGCUGCUCCGGGGCAUCCAGUUGGCCCAGUUUUACUGGCCCAUCCUUGAGGAGCUUAAUGUCACUCGGCCAGAGCACUUCGACUUUGUAAAGCCUGAGGACCUGGACGGCAUUGGCAUGGGCCGGCCUGGUGAGGGACCCCUGCCCCGAGGCCCUGGUCUCUCUGUCCACAGCCUAUCAGUUGCCUUUCCCCACCACAACCCUCUUCCAGCCCUUUUCUUCCCUGUAAGUCUCUCUGCACUCUUCCCCACACCCACCUCCACCCCAGCCCUGAUUCUGGCCUCCCACAGCCCAGCGCAGACUGUCCGAAGCUCUGAAAAGGCUACGUUCUGGGCCUAAGUCUAAGAACUGGGUCUACAAGAUCCUUGGAGGUUUUGGCCCUGAGCACAAGGAGCCCACCCUGCC